AUUGUCGCAGCUAUAUAUCCUUAGGAGACUCUCAAUCAUCUCUGUUCGAGCCUCUCUGAACAUUAAGCGUGGUUGAGAGAGGGAUUUCUACAUGUGCUCUCUAUCUUCUAGGACUAUUGUUUACAAGGGCCAGCUUAAACCGUCCCAGCUUAAGGGGUACUACUAUGCAGACCUAGGUCAUGAAAACUUCAUGAGUUAUAUGGCUCUGGUAAAUACAAAACUUUGGCACUUACACAAAAAUUGUCAUGAUCAUAGUCGACGGAUGGGAACCAAUAAUAGCAACGCUGUUGUAAGAAGAUACACUCCUAUGCAGGCAUCGAACUUUGAACUGUCCUACCAUCACUGCUCUACUCAUAUGCUAUUUCAGUCCUGGUUCUUGAUGCCUUAAAGUGAAGUAUUAGAAAUCUCUAUUAGUUGAUACCCGAUAACCAUGUUGCAGAGUCCAGCUGCAGUUCUGCUAUGGCCGACUGCUA